GGGGAAUUUUCCGCAAUGGGCGAAAGCCUGACGGAGCAAUACCGCGUGAGGGAGGAAGGUUCUUGGAUUGUAAACCUCUUUUCUCAGAGAAGAAUAAUGACGGUAUCUGAGGAAUAAGCAUCGGCUAACUCCGUGCCAGCAGCCGCGGUAAUACGGAGGAUGCAAGCGUUAUCCGGAAUGAUUGGGCGUAAAGGGUCUGUAGGUGGUUGUUCAAGUCUGCUGUUAAAGCGUCUGGCUUAACCAGAUAAAGGCGGUGGAAACUGAACGACUAGAGUGCGGUAGGGGUAGAGGGAAUUCCCAGUGUAGCGGUGAAAUGCGUAGAUCUUGGGAAGAACACCUGUGGCGAAAGCGCUCUACUGGACCGCGACUGACACUGAUGGACGAAAGCUAGGGGAGCGAAUGGGAUUAGAUACCCCAGUA
rnacentral:rRNA from 1 species